rnacentral:rRNA from 1 species
GACGAACGCUGGCGGCGUGCUUAACACAUGCAAGUCGAACGGAAAGGCCCUGCUUUUGUGGGGUGCUCGAGUGGCGAACGGGUGAGUAACACGCGAGUAACCUGCCCUUGACUUUGGGAUAACUCCAGGAAACUGGGGCUAAUACCGGAUAGGAGCUCCUGCUGCAUGGUGGGGGUUGGAAAGUUUCGGCGGUUGGGGAUGGACUCGCGGCUUAUCAGCUUGUUGGUGGGGUAGUGGCUUACCAAGGCUUUGACGGGUAGCCGGCCUGAGAGGGUGACCGGCCACAUUGGGACUAAGAUACGGCCCAGACUCCUACGGGCGGCAACAGUGGAGAGUAUUACGCAAUGGGCGGAAGCCUGAUACAGCAACGCCGCGUGCGGGAUGACGGCCUUCGGGUUGUGAACCGCUUUCGCCUGUGACGAAGCGUGAGUGACGGUAAUGGGUAAAGAAGCACCGGCUAACUACGUG